GGACUACACGGGUUUCUAAUCCGGAUCGCUCCCCACGCUUUCGCGCCUCAGCGUCAGGCCAGGCCCAGGCGGCCGCCUUCGCCACUGGUGUUCCUCCGGAGCUCUACGCAUUCCACCACUACACCCGGAAUUCCACCGCCCUCUGCCCGCCUCUAGCCUCGCAGUCUCGCCCGACCCCUCCGAGUUGAGCCCGGAGAUUUCACGGCCGACUUGCCAGGCCGCCUACGCGCGCUUUACGCCCAAUGAAUCCGGACAACGCUCGCCCCCUACGUAUUACCGCGGCUGCUGGCAC
rnacentral:rRNA from 1 species